rnacentral:lncRNA from 1 species
GUUCAGAAAAAUAAACCAGACUAUGAACAAGUAGCUCUCCUCUAUCCAUACUUCAUUUUAAAUGAGGCUAACAAAGAAGAGUAGUGAGAAAUUAUUUUAAAAAUUUGAGUGUGGAGGAGGGCACAUGUGAGUGUACAGAUGCAUUUGUGUGUGUGUAGGGACAGAUGUGAGUGCACAGGUGCAUUUGUGUCUGUGGAGGGGCACAUGUGAGUGCACAAGUGCAUUUGUAUGUAGGGGCACAUGUGAGUGUACAGGUGCAUUUGUGUGUGGGGGCACGUGUGAGUGUACAGGUGCAUUUGUGUGUGUGUAGGGGCACAUGUGAGUGCACAGGUGCAUGUGUGUGUGUAGGGGCACAUGUGAGUGCACAGGUGCAUUUGUGUGUGUGUAGGGGCACACGUGAGUGUACAGGUGCAUUUGUGUGUGUGUGUAGGGGUACAUGUGAGUGCACAGGUGCAUUUGUGGGGGAGCACAUGUGAGUGCACAGGUGCAUGUGUGUGUGUGUGUGUGUGUGUGUGUGUGUAGGGGCACAUGUGAGUGCACAGGUGCAUUUGUGGGGGGGCACAUGUGAGUGCACAGGUGCAUAUGUAUGUAGGGGCACAUGUGAGUGCACAGGUGCAUUUGUGGGGGGACACAUGUGAGUGCACAGGUGCAUGUGUGUAUGUGUGUAGGGGCACAUGUGAGUGUAUAGGUGCAUUUGUGUGUCUAGGGGCACAUGUGAGUGCACAGGUGCAUUUGUGUGUCUAGGGGCACAUGUGAGUACACAGAUGCAUUUGUGUGUCUAGGGGCACAUUGAGUGUACAGGUACAUGCAGCCAAAUGAGCACAGGAGUCAGAGCAGGAUGUCAGGUACCAUCUUGUGACUACUUAUUCUAUUGAGACAGGCUUUC